CCAAGGUUUCCGUAGGUGAACCUGCGG
rnacentral:rRNA from 1 species